CAGGCAGCCACACCACCAGCACCAUGCUAAGCUGCCAAGCCUGAGUCUCACUGGUACAAACCAGUUUUCAUUUAGUUUUCAGCUUUCAUAAAAGCAUUAUGUCAGACUUUUGCACACUGCUCAGGGGAACAGGAAACUAUUGCAACAUUUAUCUCACAGCAAAAGCAGUGAGCAAAAUCGACCACCCAUCUCAGGAUGUGAGCAGCAACCCCAGAAGGCUCCCACAGGAGCAAGUAACUCCUCUUGAAUGCCAGAAAUAUUAAAGAAGGAUGAACAAUCACCUGCAAGGCCUCUCUCAUACGUUCCCUGUCCACCAGGUUGUGCAGAGGCCUCUCCCUGCCUGAAGGCACAUGCAAGCUGCUGACGGCGGCAUGGUUACAUGCAGACUCAGGCCCCACUGAGUUGGGUUGAGGCUCUGCUCAGAAGUAUUUUGUGACAGCCAGGGGAAUAUUUGUCCCUGCUUGGCACCUUCUCACUGCAACACUGCUCCUGCUCCCUCUGGGCUGCAGUUUCAGCAGUUCCCAGCUGUGAAAGGCUGUACCUGUUUUGUUUUGUUUGCCGUUUAUUGCAUGUGCUUUUGCAAAGGUGUAGCUUGGCAGCAGAGGAGGCCGCAGGCUAGUCUUGUCCUUGCGGGAAGGACAGGCCAAUUCUAAAAGAGCCCUUCUCAAAGAACCUUUUGGAGGAGUGUGUGGAUGGUGGGGGGAGAGGUGCAAGCAAAUGACCAAGCGAGGAGUGAGCCCUCUGGGAUAGCAAAGCUUGCCAGUGCAUGGGAGACCAGAGAAAGCAGCCAGGAACCUCAGAGGGGAGCGGAGACGGACACGGAGCCCGGCUGGGGCGGCACCAAGUCUGCUGCAAGCCAGCCAGCCCCUGAGCUGGUGAACUGGAACAAGCCUGGGAGAAAAGACGUGACCGCGGAGGCAGGGGGAUCUGCAUGACCUUUACCUUCUGUUUACCAAAUGCGGUGUCCUAGAAAUGACAUAAGGAAACACUAACACCCUCAUCAGUAUAAGAGGCUUUUGAAUUUGUUCAUGAUGCCGCAACUAAUACUUGGAGUGACUGCCUUUCAUGUUCUGUGCUUUAAAAUAACUCCCAGAAGAUUAUGCUAAUGUGAAGGAAGAGUAUUCUUUGGUACCUAUUGCCUCCAACUCUGUGUAAAUCAUAGAUGCCAAAGGAAAGAAGAGGUAGAUUGAAUGGUAAGACUAUAAAGCCCUUGAUUCUCAUUCACUACCUUUUAGGGCAUAUUGUGGAGCAGAUUUCCUUGGCAUCAUUCCGCUGUUAUCUGUAUGUCUGGUCUAUGGAUCAGGGAAGAGAUGUGAAAGCAUCAUUCCUCUGUUAUUUGUAGAGCGCAGUGGUUUCUGAUCUUCCAUCUAUCCACAGUUAACAGUAUCC
rnacentral:lncRNA from 1 species